rnacentral:rRNA from 1 species
CAGAGGGGGCAAGCGUUGUUCGGAAUUACUGGGCGUAAAGGGCGCGUAGGCGGCCUGCUAAGUCGAACGUGAAAUCCCCGGGCUCAACCCGGGAACUGCGUCCGAUACUGACAGGCUUGAAUCCGGGAGAGGGAUGUGGAAUUCCAGGUGUAGCGGUGAAAUGCGUAGAUAUCUGGAGGAACACCGGUGGCGAAGGCGGCAUCCUGGACCGGUAUUGACGCUGAUGCGCGAAAGCCAGGGGAGCAAACGGGAUUAGAUACCCCGGUAGUCCUGGCCCUAAACGAUGAAUGCUUGGUGUGGCGGGUAUCGAUCCCUGCCGUGCCGAAGCUAACGCAUUAAGCAUUCCGCCUGGGGAGUACGGUCGCAAGGCUG